GAUGAAGAACGUAGCGAAAUGCGAUACUUGGUGUGAAUUGCAGAAUCCCGUGAACCAUCGAGUCUUUGAACGCAAGUUGCGCCCGAAGCCAUUAGGCCGAGGGCACGCCUGCCUGGGCGUCACACGUCGUUGCCCCCCCAUCUACUCCUUCGGGAUUGCGGGGGCGGAUGAUGGCCUCCCGUGCGCCUCGCCGCGCGGUUGGCAUAAAUGCCAAGUCCUCGGCGACGCACGCCACGACAAUCGGUGGUUGCGAAACCUCGGUUGCCCGUCGUGUGCGGUCGUCGCGCAUCGAGGGCUCGAAAAAAUUGCCGGGUUCCGGCUCGGCUUUCAACGCGACCCCAGGUCAGGCGGGGUUACCCGCUGAAUUUAAGCAUAUCAAUAAGCGGAGA
rnacentral:misc_RNA from 1 species